rnacentral:rRNA from 1 species
CGGAACGUGCCCGAUCGUGGGGGAUAACGCAGCGAAAGCUGUGCUAAUACCGCAUACGAUCUACGGAUGAAAGCGGGGGAUCGCAAGACCUCGCGCGGACGGAGCGGCCGAUGGCAGAUUAGGUAGUUGGUGGGGUAAAGGCUCACCAAGCCUGCGAUCUGUAGCUGGUCUGAGAGGACGACCAGCCACACUGGGACUGAGACACGGCCCAGACUCCUACGGGAGGCAGCAGUGGGGAAUUUUGGACAAUGGGCGCAAGCCUGAUCCAGCCAUGCCGCGUGCAGGAUGAAGGCCUUCGGGUUGUAAACUGCUUUUGUACGGAACGAAAAGGUUCUUUCUAAUAAAGAGAGCUCAUGACGGUACCGUAAGAAUAAGCACCGGCUAACUACGUGCCAGCAGCCGCGGUAAUACGUAGGGUGCAAGCGUUAAUCGGAAUUACUGGGCGUAAAGCGUGCGCAGGCGGUGAUGUAAGACAGAUGUGAAAUCCCCGGGCUCAACCUGGGAACUGCAUUUGUGACUGCAUCGCUGGAGUGCAGCAGAGGGGGAUGGAAUUCCGCGU